CGUGGAGCUGUCUCACCCCCUGCACAAGGAGGGAGGGACCGACGGGGGGAUCCGAUUCUGGGAUCCACAGGCCUGACUGAAGGAGGCCCACCCUGCCGCUCACUCUCUGUGGAGCCCCAGCUGCUCAAGAAACUUGGAGAAGAAAAUCAACCCACACGGCGCUCGCAGAGCCUGAUCUCUGUGGUGAGCCAUCUACUCCUGAACAGACUUGGUGCAGCAAAUUAGAUGUCAGAGAUGCCCAGGAAAUCCAGGCGGCACAGGCCCUGGCAGGGGCCAAGCACCCAAGGCGUGCCAGGCUGAAGGCUGAGCCUAUGCGGGUAGCCCCAUGGGAUGAGGUCAGCAUGGAAAAUGAGCCUGGCCCCCUGGGCGUGGUCCUGCUUCUCUGAAACCCUGAAGACAUCAUAAGCCAAUGAAUGUAGGCGUUACUGCCUGAUACAACCCAGCACACCAGUCAAACACCUUGCCAACUCACCCGUAGUGGUUAGGUGGUGGUAUGUAAUGCGCCUUCCUUCCCAAGAGCAUGGAGGGCUUUCCCCUUGUCAUUCACUCUCACUGUGGGAAGGACUAGAUUCUCACUUCAGAUAUGAAUGCAGACAGCAGGGUGAGUAGUCCGAGGCCCAGGUUGCGAGGGCACCUGGCAUCAGAUGCUCUCUUGAGACCCUUUCUUCUCUUCACAGGGAGGUGACCGGUCUACCCAGAGAGUCUGGCAGAAGGUGGAGGGGAGAAAGAAGCAGGGUUGCUGAUCUCAGAACAAGUCUGAAGAGAGUGUGGACAUGGCUUUCUAGGUGAGAAGAGAGAGCUUGUGAAAGGCAGGCAAGGUACUUAGGGUCACACGAGGCCUCUGCAAGAGGCAGCCAGAAAGCCAAGGGCAGAUGGGGGCAUACGGACUUGGGACUUUGGUCUCAAAUGGUUAAGCCUGAGUUCUCCUGGAUCAUCAUGUAUAUUGUAGCCUCCAAAUAUCUUUAGGAGAAAAUACAGGCUUCCUGGGUAAAUACUUCAAGUUACACCAAGCACAGGAGUCAAUAAUCUUGACCUCUCUUAAAUUACCUGAAGCAGGACACCCUGGAGGGAUGAAUGCCCUGAACUCUUGAUUCUUACACUAAGCCCUGUACUCCAAAGCUUCCCACUCUGCCGGCCAAACCCUGCCCUGGUGAGAUAAGUGCAUAGCCACUCCACCGGACCUCAGCAGGGGAAAAUGGUUUGUUUUUUGAAUUAUCCAGCAAACUUGAAUAUCUAUCAGCAUCAAAGAAUUCUAAGGGAUAUAUAAUCAAACCUCCACUCAAUGCCCAAAUCUAAAUACAGUUAUCCCCAGUCUCCACAGGACAUUAGCCAGGAUCCCUCAUGGAUACUGAAAUCCACGG
rnacentral:lncRNA from 1 species